AUCACUUCCGUCUGGGAAGGUCGACGAGGAGACGAUUCCAAAAAUUAAGUCGCCGCCGUGGUUUGACAAAGACUUCACAACUUCGAUCAACUAUUCAGUGGUGCGAAGUCGACAUUCCCCAUCUAAAUCGAUAUCAAAUUUUUUAUUUUUUUCGAUUUAAACCUUGCCUCUGUGUUGCGAAAUGGUUGACAGUUUGCAGCGCCGUGCCACUUCGUUGUAGCUGAAAGGAGCGGUUUAGGUACAUAAGCACUCGUUGUCGCUGUUCACGACUUACGCUUCUUGAAUGGGCGCGAAACUAUAGUGUGAUUAGUAGGACACUAGUACAACUGGAUCACAUUGAUCGGUUCCGUCACUUCAGUGAUGCAUAUUGCAUUGCUAAUUUGCAAAUGGACCCUAAUACCAUCGGGCACGUAUGCUACCUUUUAAAAAAGAGGGGUUGGUUGCGUAUGGGUAAAUCCCUCGCAGUGGAAGAACAAGUUGCUAUAUUCGUCGGUGUCCUAGCUCACUAAAAGAAAAAUCAGAAGGCAGGUUUUGAAUUCUGGAGAUCUGGAGCCACCAUUUCUUUGUAUAUGCACCAAGUGUUGGGUGUUGUUUUGAACCUCCAUGAAGUUCUGCUGGCCAUGCCAGCUCCAGUGUUGGAUGAUUGCAAGGACCAUAGGUGGAAAUGGUUUAAGGGCUACCUCGGUGCGUUGGAUGGUACACACAUUAACUUCUUAGUAAGUAAUACAUACAAACCACAGUUUCGUUCUAAGAAGGAGCAAAUAUCGACAAACACCCUUGUGGUUUGUGAUCGGAACAUGCAAUUUGUCUAUGUUUUACUUGGAUGGGAGGGUUCGGCAGGUGACUCUCGAGUUUUGAGGGAUGCUGUGACUCGGGUUAACGGUUUGAAGGUUCCAAAAGGGUGUUAUUACUGGCGUGAUAAUGGCUACACGAAUAGUGAAGGGUUCUUGAAACCUUACAGAGGAGUUCGCUAUCAUCUGAUGGAAUGGGCUCCAGGCACUGACGCCCUACAAAAUGCUAUCGAGUUGUUCAAUAUGCGCCACUCGAAAGCAAUGAAUGUAAUUGAGAGGGUGUUUGUCGUACUAAAGAUGCGUUCGAGGAUCCUCCAGCGUGUAUUCUCUUAUCCAAUUAAAAUGCAGAUUCGUCUAAUAAUGGCUUGGUUUAUGUUGCAUAACUUCAUACGUCGUGAGAUGGAAAUAGAUCCAAUUGAAGUUGAAAUAGACGAUGACAGCCUCGGGGUGAUUCUUCAAGACGACAACGGUCCUGCUGAAUUUGUUGAAUUUGUUGAGCCAUCAAAUAAGUGGCAUAAAAAGGCAUGAAAUAGCUCAAGAAAUGCGGCUGAAUAGAUGAAGGAAUUAGUUUUGUUUUCUCAUUUUAUCUUGAUUUGUGUGUUCUUAUAUUUGGAUUGUAGACUUCCGUACACUAAACCGACAAUGAUCAAAGAUGGACAACAUCCCGGUGUGCUUGUAUGGCAAGGGGAAAAUGGAGGUUUGCUGUGCCGGCCAAGCUGAAAAGCAUCCUGGACGGUACUACUACAAGUGCCCUAUUGGUGACAAACACCCGAGUUCAUUCAUAUGGUGUGAUGAACACCUUCAUGCAUCUGGUAAAGGAGACAAUCAUCAAUCGACCACCACCUUUACACCUGACAUUGGUGAACUCUACCAAUCAGAAACUACAAAGGAUACAAUGUGCAUUGUUUGUGAGUUGAUCAAGAAAUAGCUUGAGCUCGUAUGCAUCAUAGUAUUCGGGUUCAUAAUUGUACUUGUCUUGCUUGGUAUUAUGAUUGGGAAGAUUUUUUAGGCAUGAUUUAGGGGUUGUUUUAUGUUAUUUAGAGUACCGUGUGAACCUUGUUUCCUCAUUAUGUAAACUUCUGGAUUUA